rnacentral:lncRNA from 1 species
AUUGCUCAUAUUAAGUGAUUAAUGGUGAUUAUAUAUUAUAUAAUUUUCUUCAUAUUCUGAUGAGAUUGCAUCAUGUGAUUUAAUACUAAGGAUAAUAAUAACACCAUAAUUCUUAUUAUCCCACAGCUCCAGUGCCCAACAACACUCAUCCAAUAAGCAUAAUGAAUUUGGAGGGAUUUUCAUUGAAAACUGUAAAGUUUGUCCACACAGUUUUGAUUAUAUUCUACUACUCCGAUAGCCAACCUGACUCCAUCUUGAGCCUUACCACCAUUGUGUGCUUGUGGGGGACAAAGUAUUUGUGCUUGGACAAAGCACCUAAAAACCACAUCCUGUUUGGCAGAAAAAUUUGCUGCAGCUGCAAGAUGUUUUUCUGUAGCUCACCAAAAAUGUGAAACUUCCUCUUGCCCCCUACUAAUCUGGCACUAACCUGGCAUGGUUCUGCUUCUGUAAAAUUCCACUUGCUCUCCCCUUGAGCACUCCCCAAGUGAAAGCAUAGUUUAAAAGGAGAAACCAAACCACUCAUCAGUGUUGAGAGUUCUUUCCGGGCACUAGUCCCCUCCCUGUUGCUGGCUUUGAAUAAACAGACUGAAAUUUGACUCAGAGUGUGGCGCA